CGAACUCUGGUAUUGAUUGGUGCUUGCAUCAUGAUUUACAUUUGAGUGAGUGGCGAACUGGUGAGUAACACGUGGGAAACCUGCCCAGAAGCGGGGGAUAACACCUGGAAACAGAUGCUAAUACCGCAUAACAACUUGGACCGCAUGGUCCGAGUUUGAAAGAUGGCUUCGGCUAUCACUUUUGGAUGGUCCCGCGGCGUAUUAGCUAGAUGGUGGGGUAACGGCUCACCAUGGCAAUGAUACGUAGCCGACCUGAGAGGGUAAUCGGCCACAUUGGGACUGAGACACGGCCCAAACUCCUACGGGAGGCAGCAGUAGGGAAUCUUCCACAAUGGACGAAAGUCUGAUGGAGCAACGCCGCGUGAGUGAAGAAGGGUUUCGGCUCGUAAAACUCUGUUGUUAAAGAAGAACAUAUCUGAGAGUAACUGUUCAGGUAUUGACGGUAUUUAACCAGAAAGCCACGGCUAACUACGUGCCAGCAGCCGCGGUAAUACGUAGGUGGCAAGCGUUGUCCGGAUUUAUUGGGCGUAAAGCGAGCGCAGGCGGUUUUUUAAGUCUGAUGUGAAAGCCUUCGGCUCAACCGAAGAAGUGCAUCGGAAACUGGGAAACUUGAGUGCACAAGAGGACAGUGGAACUCCAUGUGUAGCGGUGAAAUGCGUAUAUAUAUGGAAGAACACCAGUGGCGAAAGGCGGCUGUCUGGUCUGUAUCUGA
rnacentral:rRNA from 2 species